CCGUGUUUCAGAGCUCAGUUAUCUAAUUGACGAAGAGAAAACUAACCUUUGUUUUCUCUUUGAAAAAUCAUGCCUGUUUUCAGUUACAGCAUAAAAAAAUAAUAAUAAAGUGAAAUGAAAUAAAGGUCGGGAUAAAAACUUUAUCGCAGAGUGGCAGGCUGAGGAGGCACCGUGGAGAUAAGGACACACACACGGCGUAUUCCAGCCUUACAUUUCCAGCUACUGCUCCAGGAUGUGCCGUCCUCGUUGGAAACAAGUAAACAAACGCAACCCAACUUGCCCUAGUUGCAGCCAUCAGCUCAAUAAAAACUGCUACCUCCUACGGGUAGAGUUCUUUACA